rnacentral:rRNA from 1 species
UAUGAAGCGAGUAAGGGCACGCGGUGGAUGCCUGGGCACAGGCGGGCGAUGAAGGGCGUGGCAAGCUGCGAAAAGCCUCGGGGAGCUGCAAGCGAGCUUUGAUCCGGGGGUACCCGAAUGGGGCAACCUGGCGGGGGUGAACCCCGUCAUCCUGCUUCGGCAGGAGGCGAACCCGGGGAACUGAAACAUCUCAGUACCCGGAGGAAGAGAAAGAAACCUCGAUUCCCCCAGUAGCGGCGAGCGAAAGGGGAAGAGCCCAAACCGUGGGGGCGUAUAAGACCGAAGUCGUUGCCUCUGCGGGGUUGUAGGGCGGCGCGACCGGGAGCUUCGGAUCCCGGCGCUCGUAGCUUGGAUCUAGCCGAAUCGAGCUGGAAAGCUCAGCCAUAGCGGGUGAAAGCCCCGUAGGCGAAAGGUCGAAGCGCGGGCGUGCGUCGUUCCUGAGUAGGCCGGGCCACGUGGAAUCCCGGUCGAAGCUGGGAGGACCUUCUCCCAAGGCUAAAUACCAGUCUGUGACCGAUAGCGAACAAGUACCGUGAGGGAAAGGUGAAAAGUACCCCUGACGGGGGGUGAAAUAGAACCUGAAACCGUGUGCCUACGAGCGGUGGGAGGGGCGAAGCCAAGAGCCUUCGGGCUUUUGGGCCCUGACCGCGUGCCUUUUGCAUUAUGAUCCGGGGAGUUGUCCUUUUGGGCGAGGUUAAGGGCCGUCGAGGUCCGGAGCCGAAGCGAAAGCGAGUCUUAAGUGGGCGAACAGUCCAUGGGGGCAGACCCGAAGCCGAGUGAUCUACCCAUGGCCAGGGUGAAGCGAGGGUAACACCUCGUGGAGGCCCGCACCGGUGUCGGUUGAAAACGGCUCGGAUGAGCUGUGGGUAGGGGUGAAAGGCCAAACAAACUCGGAGAUAGCUGGUUCUCCCCGAAACGUAUUUAGGUACGGCCUCCGGGGUUGACUGCAGGAGGUAGAGCACUGGAUGGGCUAGGGGCCCGAGGGGGCUACCAAACCCAACCAAACUCCGAAUGCCUGUAGUUG